UGAUGUUUGAAUGAUUGAUGAGUCAUAGUGAUAUGAAAGAAUAUGUUUUGAAAAUGGGAGUAUGGUACUUGAUUGAUGGUCGAGUAGGCAAGGGACGCGGGAGGAACCGGCGGACCCAACACAUGGUGGCAAAUACCUGAGGUCGAAAGACCAGUAUGGAAAACCCACAAUUAAAGAAAUGAAAUACGGCUAAUACCUGAGGUCGAAAGGCCGGUAUGGAAACCCCCGUAUUAUCUAUUGGCCAAAUUUGAUGAACAGGUUCCAAAAAUCAAAGUCUAUUGCUAUCAGUCAAGUACCACACUUCAAGGGUACCCGAUAAAGAGAAGGAUUUCAAAGAAAAGGAUCACGAAUGAAGUUAUAGAUGUGAUAUUGUACUUAUUGAAUGGAUAAUGUGUUAUGUGAUUGAUAUAUUGCUAUUACAUCAGUUUCAACUUGCUGAGCCAUUAGCUCAUUAGGUUCUUAUGAUGCAGGUAAUGAUGUACAUGUUUAGAAGUUGACCUAGCCAAGAGCGGCUAGUCAGAUAUUUGUUCAUAUGCCAUGCUUCGAGCCAUUUUUGUAGCCGAGCAGAAACUCUGAUUUCAUUUUGUUAGCCGCUCUAUUAUGGUUUUUGUACAAUGUAAUUUUGUAAACAAUGAAUAUAUAUAUGUACGGAUUUUGAGAAAGUACUAAGUUUGAUUUCUUUUCAAAGCAUAUAACGUAUUUUUGUAUUAAAACCAUAAUGUUUAAGUAUAUAUAUAAAAAGCUUAGCAUCCCUAACUUAAUGGCGGUGAUCCGAUUGGAUUCUGCUGUUAGGUUGUGCGGUGUUACAUUUUUGGUAUCAGAGCGGAGGUUUAAAAUCUUUUCUGAAGACAGAAGAAGGCAUAUGAACAUACUUUGGCUGGGAAGCUAGGUUAGAUACGCACAUAAGUAAGUAUACAAAGGCAUACACAAAAUUACUCACGCAAAAGUGCAUUCGCAAAAAGGAUCAUGAAAACACAAACUACAAUCCUAGGACAUUAAUUGUAAUGCCCAACCAUCCAUACAUGGCCAAUAAAAAGCAUAUUGCAUCAAUGCAUAUAGUUAUAAUUCAUUAUUCAUGAUGCAUGAUCACGACUACUUGCUACACAUGUGCCUUAAUUGUGUUUUAAUACGUGAUCGAAUACUUUUCUUAAACAGUGAUAAUACAUGAUACAUGUUAUUGAACUUCUACUUUAUGAUUUAACAUUAACUUAAAUGAUUUAUUGUAGUGAGAAGUUAAGUUUCUCGCUAAACGGUGAUAUAUUUGUCUUAGAUGCAUUUCUGCAUUUUAAUUAUGUUUUAAUAUGAUUAAUUACAUAUGUAAUUAUUUGAAGUAACUCAUAUUAGACUAAAACCAAAAGUAUGCAAAAGGGUGCAUUUUGAUUGGUUGGUUGACUAGGUUGCACGAGACCAUUCUGAAAUUGUUUACACUUGAUUAUAAUGAGUAAGCAUCAGCCCAUAUCUUAUCUCAAGCUAUAAAAACGUGGAGGAACCACAAGAAUCCAGCAAAUACAAGCCUUCCAAUCACCAUCCUCCAUUUGGUCUUGUUGGGAAUGGGUAGAUAAGUGAAGACUUUGUGUUUUGGUCUUCAUUUUCACUUGUCUUCUUCCAAAAACGACCAGACCUAUUUCCUUAAUCUUGUCUUCAUAUUUCUUCACUUCCGUACUUACAUAAGAGAGCAUCAAACCAUAAAAAUCAUAGAAGUAGAGCUAGAACAAGUUCUGCCCCUUUUCUAGCUGAAAAUCCUAUGUUUUGAAGUUGAAUUCAUCUCUAAUCAAGGCUUCUAGCACACCUUAUCUAAGACUAAUCCUUUCAUUUCAUAAACCAUUAUUGAUCUUGAGGUAAGUUGAAGCUUUCAUUUUCACAUCGUAAGAACCUAAUUAUGUGCGCUUUAAUGUGACUUUUGCUAUGUAUUCUCUAUGAUGUUUGAAUGAUUGAUGAGUCAUAGUGAUAUGAAAGAAUAUGUUUUGAAAAUGGGAGUAUGGUACUUGAUUGAUGGUCGAGUAGGCAAGGGACGCGGGAGGAACCGGCGGACCCAACACAUGGUGGCAAAUACCUGAGGUCGAAAGACCAGUAUGGAAAACCCACAAUUAAAGAAAUGAAAUACGGCUAAUACCUGAGGUCGAAAGGCCGGUAUGGAAACCCCCGUAUUAUCUAUUGGCCAAAUUUGAUGAACAGGUUCCAAAAAUCAAAGUCUAUUGCUAUCAGUCAAGUACCACACUUCAAGGGUACCCGAUAAAGAGAAGGAUUUCAAAGAAAAGGAUCACGAAUGAAGUUAUAGAUGUGAUAUUGUACUUAUUGAAUGGAUAAUGUGUUAUGUGAUUGAUAUAUUGCUAUUACAUCAGUUUCAACUUGCUGAGCCAUUAGCUCAUUAGGUUCUUAUGAUGCAGGUAAUGAUGUACAUGUUUAGAAGUUGACCUAGCCAAGAGCGGCUAGUCAGAUAUUUGUUCAUAUGCCAUGCUUCGAGCCAUUUUUGUAGCCGAGCAGAAACUCUGAUUUCAUUUUGUUAGCCGCUCUAUUAUGGUUUUUGUACAAUGUAAUUUUGUAAACAAUGAAUAUAUAUAUGUACGGAUUUUGAGAAAGUACUAAGUUUGAUUUCUUUUCAAAGCAUAUAACGUAUUUUUGUAUUAAAACCAUAAUGUUUAAGUAUAUAUAUAAAAAGCUUAGCAUCCCUAACUUAAUGGCGGUGAUCCGAUUGGAUUCUGCUGUUAGGUUGUGCGGUGUUACAUUUUUGGUAUCAGAGCGGAGGUUUAAAAUCUUUUCUGAAGACAGAAGAAGGCAUAUGAACAUACUUUGGCUGGGAAGCUAGGUUAACUCUUUUCUUAUUUACCUAUGUGUUUAAUUUAUAUGUUGCAUAGCAAAUAUCCAGAAUUGUUCGGUACGUCAAAUUUCGAGGGCGAAAUUUUAUAAGGAGGGAAGAAUUGUAAUGCCCAACCAUCCAUACAUGGCCAAUAAUAAGCAUAUUGCAUCAAUGCAUAUAGUUAUAAUUCAUUAUUCAUGAUGCAUGAUCACGACUACUUGCUACACAUGUGCCUUAAUUGUGUUUUAAUACGUGAUCGAAUACUUUUCUUAAACUGUGAUAAUAUAUGAUACAUGUUAUUGAACUUCUACUUUAUGAUUUAACAUUAACUUAAAUGAUUUAUUGUAGUGAGAAGUUAAGUUUCUCGCUAAACGGUGAUAUAUUUGUCUUAGAUGCAUUUCUGCAUUUUAAUUAUGAUUAAUUACAUAUGUAAUUAUUUGAAGUAACUCAUACUAGACUAAAACCAAAAGUAUGCAAAAUGGUGCAUUUUGAUUGGUUGGUUGACUAGGUUGCACGAGACCAUUCUGAAAUUGUUUACACUUGAUUAUAAUGAGUAUGCAUCAGCCCAUUUCUUAUCUCAAGCUAUAAAAACGUGGAGGAACCACAAGAAUCCAGCAAAUACAAGCCUUCCAAUCACCAUCCUCCAUUUGGCCUUGUUGGGAAUGGGUAGAUAAGUGAAGACUUUGUGUUUUGGUCUUCAUUUUCACUUGUCUUCUUCCAAAAAUGACCAGACCUAUUUCCUUAAUUUUGUCUUCAUAUUUCUUCACUUCCAUACUCACAUAAGAGAGCAUCAAACCAUAAAAACUCAUAGAAGUAGAGCUAGAACAAGUUCUGCACCUUUUCUAGCUGAAAAUCCUAUGUUUUGAAGUUGAAUUCAUCUCUAAUCAAGGCUUCUAGCACACCUUAUCUAAAACUGAUCCUUUCAUUUCAUAAACCAUUAUUGAUCUUGAGGUAAGUUGAAGCUUUCAUUUGCACAUCGUAAGAACCUAAUUAUGUGCGCUUUAAUGUGACUUUUGCUAUGUAUUCUCUAUAAUGUUUGAAUGAUUGAUGAGUCAUAGUGAUAUGAAAGAAUAUGUUUUGAAAAUGGGAGUAUGGUACUUGAUUGAUGGUCGAGUAGGCAAGGGACGCAGGAGGAACCGGCGGACCCAACACAUGGUGGCAAAUACCUGAGGUCGAAAGACCAGUAUGGAAAACCCACAAUUAAAGAAAUGAAAUACGGCUAAUACCUGAGGUCGAAAGGCCGGUAUGGAAACCCCCGUAUUAUCUAUUGGCCAAAUUUGAUGAACAGGUUCCGAAAAUCAAAGUCUAUUGCUAUCAGUCAAGUACCACACUUCAAGGGUACCCGAUAAAGAGAAGGAUUUCAAAGAAAAGGAUCACGAAUGAAGUUAUAGAUGUGAUAUUGUACUUAUUGAAUAGAUAAUGUGUUAUGUGAUUGAUAUAUUGCUAUUACAUCAGUUUCAACUUGCUGAGCCAUUAGCUCAUUAGGUUCUUAUGAUGCAGGUAAUGAUGUACAUGUUUAGAAGUUGACCUAGCCAAGAGCGGCCAGUCAGAUAUUUGUUCAUAUGCCAUGCUUCGAGCCAUUUUUGUAGCCGAGCAGAAACUCUGAUUUCAUUUUGUUAGCCGCUCUAUUAUGGUUUUUGUACAAUGUAAUUUUGUAAACAAUGAAUAUAUAUAUGUACGGAUUUUGAGAAAGUACAAAGUUUGAUUUCUUUUCAAAGCAUAUAACGUAUUUUUGUAUUAAAACCAUAAUGUUUAAGUAUAUAUAUAA
rnacentral:lncRNA from 1 species